UGAAUACGAGAUGCUACGGCAUCGAAGCAGUCUAUGUCAUACUUCCAAGAAAAGCUUGCACUGUCAUAAACAAAUAAUGCCUGUACCAUAACCGACACAGGUGGGUAGGUAGAGUAUACUAAGGGGCGCGAGAUAACUCUCUCUAAGGAACUCGGCAAAAUGACUCCGUAACUUCGGGAGAAGGAGUGCCUUAUUUUAUAAGGUUGCAAUAACAAGAUCCAAGCAACUGUUUACCAAAAACACAGGUCUCCGCUAAGUCGUAAGACGAUGUAUGGGGGCUGACGCCUGCCCAGUGCCAGAAGGUUAAAGAAGUUGGUUAGCAUUAGCGAAGCUGAUAACUGAAGCCCUGGUGAACGGCGGCCGUAACAAUAACGGUCCUAAGGUAGCGAAAUUCCUUGUCGGGUAAGUUCCGACCCGCACGAAAGGCGUAAUGAUUUGGAUACUGUCUCGGAGAGGGGCUCGGUGAAAUAGACUUGUCUGUGAAGAUGCGGACUACCUGCACCAGGACAGAAAGACCCUAUGAAGCUUUACUGUAACUUGAGAUUGAAAUUGGACUUUAUUUGCGCAGUAUAGGUGGGGGACGUUGAAAGUAUUCUUGCGGGAAUAUUGGAGUCAUCAGUGAGAUACCACUCUUAUAAUGUUAGAUUUCUAACUUUGUAUCAUUAUCUGGUCAAAGAACAGUCUCAGGCGGGCAGUUUGACUGAGGCGGUCGCCUCCCAAACGGUAACGGAGGCGCACAAAGGUUUCCUAUGAACGUGUAGAAAUCGUAUCUAGAGUGUAAAGGCAUAAGGGAGCUUGACUGUGAGACCUACAAGUCGAGCAGGGACGAAAGUCGGUCUUAGUGAUCUGACGGUGCUGAGUGGAAAGGCCGUCACUCAACGGAUAAAAGUUACUCUAGGAUAACAGGCUGAUCUCCCCCAAGAGUUCACAUCGACGGGGAGGUUUGGCACCUCGAUGUCGGCUCAUCGCAUCCUGGGGCGGUAGUACGUCCCAAGGGUUGGGCUGUUCGCCCAUGAAAGCGGUACGCGAGCUGGGUUCAGAACGUCGUGAGACAGUUCGGUCCAUAUCCGGUGUAGGCGUUAGAAUAUUGAGAGGAGCCUUCUUUAGUACGAGAGGACCGAGAAGGACAUACCUCUGGUGUACCAGUUAUCGUGCCAACGGUAAACGCUGGGUAGCUAUGUAUGGAGAGGAUAACCGCUGAAAGCAUCUAAGUGGGAAGCCCACCUCAAGAUAAGUAUUCUCU
rnacentral:rRNA from 1 species